rnacentral:tRNA from 1 species
GGGCGCAGGUCACGAAGGGGAGCUGAUGAUCACGUCUCCUUACAAGCGAGGGGCGCAAGUUCGAUUCUUGCUGCGGCUA